CCUCCUCCAGCCGCGCCGCCGCCGUCCCCGCCCGCGCCGCCGCCUCCCACCUGGAUCCUUCCUCUUGAGGUGAGAAUCACAGGGUCAACGCGAGGAAUCAAAGUCUUAUCCUUCCACUUCCCAGGUUUGGAUUCCGUCCAUGGCGUCCCAGGAUCACCACCACCACCACGGCUUUAUGAUGAUCAGCUUAGUGUUAUCAGUUGACUGUUUGGGAAAUGUCCUGUAUCCUCUUUGUUUUGAUACGAAACCUGUAUCAUUUUCCAUAAUAUUAUAUUUACCCUUAUAAUCUCUUCUAAAACAUGUAGGGGACUGGUGACACGACUCCUGCUUCGUCGAGUUCUUGAUGAUGUUCUUUAAGUUUCUACUUGUGUUCAUUAGAUGAUGUUCUUGAGAUAAUGAUGAUAUCUGUUGUAAUAUUGAACUUUAUGUGAUAUUUGUGAGAUGAUGAUGUUGAACUUUAUGUGAUAUUUGUGAGAUGAUGUUGUUNNN
rnacentral:lncRNA from 1 species